rnacentral:lncRNA from 1 species
GUCCACAGUUACUGGUCAUUGUCGCGAGGCAAUUAGUCUAACGAUUGUCGUUCAUACAAAUAUAAACAAAGAAAAUACAAAGAAGCAGAAGCCCAAAUACUUAACAAAAAAUUUUCAUUUCAUUUCAUAAAUUUAAGUACAGUGGGGCCGAAUUCAUUACAAGAUAACCCUAAUCUGUUGGAGGGACUUCAGCACUGACCGCCUCCUGGGCUUCCGGAGCCUCCUCAACAACCUUAUCAGGCCGACCUCCAGUUGGCCCCCAAACUCUACCUCCAAUGGAGAGAUGUCCAGAGUGUGAUGCACCUCCUUUAGUCGACCCAGUAAGCUUUGGGCACUCCAUGAGGCCCAGAAGUUGGCGAAGUCGUCAUACAGGGGAUGGUCUUUGAAGUGGUCAAUAAAGUUCUGGACUGCCACCUCCCCUGUAGACUUCAAUUCCUCCUUCAAAGAGGCAAUCUCCUCUGACUGGGCCUCUGUCUGCUGCCUCAGCUCUGCCUUUUCUCUGUUGGAGGCCUCCAGAGUAUCUGUGGUGAGCUUGUGGUGCUCAUUGGCGUGAUCAAGUCGUCGAGUCACAGCAGCCACUUGGCAUUCCACCUCAUACAGCUCUUUCUUCAGCCGCUCCACUUCUGCUUGAGCAACAAUAAGCUGGGCCUCAGCAGCUUUCUUCCCCUCCUCUGCCUUUGUGGCUUUGGCCUGAGCCGCCCGCACGGCAUCCCUAUAAUGCAUCGCCUCCUCGAGGCGCUU